rnacentral:lncRNA from 1 species
CUUAAUUGUCAAUAAAUUAGGCAGUUUUAUUAUUUGGGCUCAUUUAGCUAAUUUGAUGUUUUUAAUCUAAUUUCAGGAAUUAAUGAAACAUUGGGCUUAAUCCGGAUUUUGGUUGUAGACUUGAAGAGGGAAAAUAAAGCAGCACUUACCUUAGUUAAUUUCUAAUUAGGAAAUUUUGCAAUUUUAUUUUAUGUUGUUCAGUGUUUAUUUCGUUUUGGGCCAGAGUAUUGUAAUAGGGCCCAGUGACUUUGAGUGACUCUUUUUAAAUAGCAGCCUUGGGAUUCGUGUAAGGCUAUUUUGUUAUGCUAUUCAUUAUUCAGAGCUUUUGUUUUAGGGUUUGACGUUUUCUGCUUUGAUGCUACUGUUCACG